GCUGGGAUGUGUUGGGGAAAUAAAGUUUCCUGUGGUCUUGUCCGUGUAACUCUCAUCCCCAGCUCUGAAAGGUAGAGGACUCUUCUAGUAAUGCCAGCGG